rnacentral:rRNA from 1 species
GACGAACGCUGGCGGCGUGCCUAAUACAUGCAAGUCGAACGAACCGCGACUAGGUGCUUGCACUUGGUCAAGGUGAGUGGCGAACGGGUGAGUAACACGUGGGUAACCUACCUCAUAGUGGGGGAUAACAGUCGGAAACGACUGCUAAUACCGCAUAGGACAUAGGAUCACAUGAUCCAGUGAGGAAAGGUGGCGCAAGCUAUCGCUAAGAGAUGGACCCGCGGUGCAUUAGCUAGUUGGUAGGGUAAGGGCCUACCAAGGCGAUGAUGCAUAGCCGACCUGAGAGGGUGAUCGGCCACAUUGGGACUGAGACACGGCCCAAACUCCUACGGGAGGCAGCAGUAGGGAAUCUUCCGCAAUGGACGCAAGUCUGACGGAGCAACGCCGCGUGAGUGAAGAAGGUCUUCGGAUCGUAAAGCUCUGUUGUUAGAGAAGAACAGCGCAUAGAGUAACUGUUAUGCGUGUGACGGUAUCUAACCAGAAAGCCACGGCUAACUACGUG